UACGGAGGGUGCAAGCGUUAUCCGGAUUUACUGGGUUUAAAGGGUGCGUAGGUGGGCAGGAAAGUCAGUGGUGAAAUCUCCGGGCUUAACCCGGAAACUGCCAUUGAUACUAUUUGUCUUGAAUACUUUGGAGGUAAGCGGAAUUUCCGGUGUAGCGGUGAAAUGCGUAGAUAUCGGAAGGAACAUCAGUGGCGAAAGCGGCUUCCUGGACCAGCACCGACGUUCAGGCACGAAAGCGUGGGGAGCAAACAGG
rnacentral:rRNA from 1 species